AAUAGAUACCCAGGUAGUCCACGCCGUAAACGAUGAGUGCUAAGUGUUAGAGGGUUUCCGCCCUUUAGUGCUGCAGCUAACGCAUUAAGCACUCCGCCUGGGGGGGUACGGCCGCAAGGCUGAAACUCAAAGGAAUUGACGGGGGGCCCGCACAAGCGGUGGAGCAUGUGGUUUAAUUCGAAGCAACGCGAAGAACCUUACCAGGUCUUGACAUCCUCUGCCAACCCUAGAGAUAGGGCGUUCCCCUUCGGGGGACAGAGUGACAGGUGGUGCAUGGUUGUCGUCAGCUCGUGUCGUGAGAUGUUGGGUUAAGUCCCGCAACGAGCGCAACCCUUGAUCUUAGUUGCCAGCAUUCAGUUGGGCACUCUAAGGUGACUGCCGGUGACAAACCGGAGGAAGGUGGGGAUGACGUCAAAUCAUCAUGCCCCUUAUGACCUGGGCUACACACGUGCUACAAUGGAUGGUACAAAGAGCUGCGAACCCGCGAGGGUAAGCCAAUCUCAUAAAGCCAUUCUCAGUUCGGAUUGUAGG
rnacentral:rRNA from 1 species